UUAACUGAAAUUUGUAUGGAGUUGGAGCGUUUGCCUACGUUUGCCGCUGUGCCAACUCUAUACGAAUUUGAGUUA
rnacentral:pre_miRNA from 1 species